CUCGUCCUCCACUUCUGUUUGUAAAGUCACUUCCUCCUCCUCAUUCUCCUCUUUCACGACAAUGUUCAGCCACAGACCCUCUUUCUCUGCCCAGCAGACCUCUUCUUUAUCAGGAGCAAACGGAGGUCAGGCCGAGGUGGCUGGCGGUGUCCGGUCGGCUACGUUAUCGGUCACACUCUGGGAGAAUAGUCUCCAGGACGCACAUCGCCACCUGCUGACUGGAGUGGGUUAUGACUGGAGUAGGUAAUCUCUGAAACAUAGAACUCCAUCUCGGAUAAUUUGGUUAGCUGCUCUGUCCACGGUCGUUUGAGAGCGUAUAACACAGUUGAGAAAAUAAAGAUGUUCAUAACUUUUAAGGAUUUAAUGUAAAUUACAUUAAAAUAGUUAAGCUGAAAUUGAUAUAGUUUGAUUUGUCUAUGUACAAGCUUGAUACUUAAAGGUCCCUUGAGCAUCAAACUUGUGUGAUCAUCAGAAAGAGUACAGACCCCUAAUAAAACAGUAAGUCCUGAAUUAUGCUCAGUAAAGUUAUUUGGAAGUAGCAUUAUUCAUCAGCAUGCAGUGCCUUUUGUGACCAUUGUUCACAGGGUUUUGUGAAGGUCAUUCAGUCAAUAUGUAGUCUGAAGUCUGACUAUGUCAUGUCAUUCAGUAAAUGUGUAGUUUGAAUUCUGACUAUGUCAUGUCAUUCAGUCAAUGUGUAGUCUGAAGUCUGACUAUGUCUUGUCAUUCAGUCAAUGUGUAGUCUGAAGUCUGACUAUGUCUUGUCAUUCAGUCAAUGUGUAGUCUGAAAUCUGACCAUGUCAUGUCAUUCAGUCAAUGUGUAGUCUGAAAUCUGACUGUCUUGUCAUUCAGUCAAUGUGUAGUCUGAAUUCUGACUAUGUCCUGUCAUUCAGUCAAUGUGUAGUCUGAAGUCUGACUAUGUCUUGUCAUUCAGUCAAUGUGUAGUCUGAAGUCUGACUAUGUCUUGUCAUUCAGUCAAUGUGUAGUCUGAAGUCUGACUAUGUAAUGUAAAUGUAAUGUAAUUCAGUUAACAUGAAGUCUGACAAUGUAAUGCAACACUCAUCUGAAAGCUGAUGACCAAUGUUGGUCAACAUCUUGGUCAGCUGUCCCAACAUGCCAGGAGUGGCACAUUCAGAAUGCUUAAUGCUUAUUCAAGUGGAACAGACAAAAUGUUAAGUAUAUUGCAGACAAGACAUGAACAGAUUAUCAUAAUAUAUUAAAAAUAUAUCAAAUGGCA